AUUGAACGCUAGCGGGAUGCCUUACACAUGCAAGUCGAACGGAGUGGCGAACGGGUGAGUAAUGUAUCGGAACGUGCCCAGUAGCGGGGGAUAACUACGCGAAAGCGUAGCUAAUACCGCAUACUAUUGGAGCGGCCGAUAUCGGAUUGGCUAGUUGGUGGGGUAACGGCUCACCAAGGCGACGGUCAGUAGCUGGUUUGAGAGGACGACCAGCCACGCUGGGUCUGAGACACGGCCCAGGCUCCUACGGGAGGCAGCAGUGGGGAAUUUUGGACAAUGGGGGAAAACCUUAUCCAGCCAUCCCGCGUGUGCAAUGAAGGCCUUCGGGUUGUAAAACACUUUUGGCAGGAAAGCGGUAUCUGCCUAAUAAGAACCGGCUAACUACGUGCCAGCCGCCGCGGUAAUAC
rnacentral:rRNA from 1 species